rnacentral:tRNA from 1 species
CAUAAGUUGGCAGGCCUCUAUCCUGCAAAAUCUUAAUUAACAACUAAACGUCYCACUCCARCGGACUUCAACUUA